rnacentral:rRNA from 1 species
UGUCUCAGUUCGGAUCGGAGUCUGCAACUCGACUCCGUGAAGCUGGAUUCGCUAGUAAUCGCGGAUCAGAAUGCCGCGGUGAAUACGUUCCCGGGUCUUGUACACACCGCCCGUCACACCAUGGGAGUCGGAAAUGCCCGAAGUCUGUGACCCAACCUCAGGGAGGGAGCAGCCGAAGGCAGGUCGGAUGACUGGGGUGAAGUCGUAACAAGGUACC